GAUGAACGCUGGCGGCGUGCCUAAUACAUGCAAGUCGAGCGAACAGACGAGGAGCUUGCUCCUCUGACGUUAGCGGCGGACGGGUGAGUAACACGUGGAUAACCUACCUAUAAGACUGGGAUAACUUCGGAAACCGGAGCUAAUACCGGAUAAUAUAUUGAACCGCAUGGUUCAAUAGUGAAAGACGGUUUUGCUGUCACUUAUAGAUGGAUCCGCGCCGCAUUAGCUAGUUGGUAAGGUAACGGCUUACCAAGGCAACGAUGCGUAGCCGACCUGAGAGGGUGAUCGGCCACACUGGAACUGAGACACGGUCCAGACUCCUACGGGAGGCAGCAGUAGGAAAUCUUCCGCAAUGGGCGAAAGCCUGACGGAGCAACGCCGCGUGAGUGAUGAAGGUCUUCGGAUCGUAAAACUCUGUUAUUAGGGAAGAACAAAUGUGUAAGUAACUAUGCACGUCUUGACGGUACCUAAUCAGAAAGCCACGGCUAACUACGUG
rnacentral:rRNA from 1 species